rnacentral:rRNA from 1 species
UACGUAGGGGGCAAGCGUUGUCCGGAUUUAUUGGGCGUAAAGAGCUCGUAGGCGGUUUGGUAAGUCUGGUGUGAAAUCUCCACGCUCAACGUGGAGGGGCCACCCGAUACUGCCAUGACUGGAGUCCGGUAGAGGGGGAUGGAAUUCCGCGUGUAGCAGUGAAAUGCGUAGAUAUGCGGAGGAACACCGAUGGCGAAGGCAAUCCCCUGGGCCUGCACUGACGCUCAUGCACGAAAGCGUGGGGAGCAAACAGG